AUUAAAUUACCACUCAAGCAUCUAAGAUUUAGUGGUCUGGCAUCCUACUAAAGGCAGCUGUUUUCAAUUGAUACAAAAACAGUGGGAAUGAAAACCGAUUUAUAAAAAAUAAUUUUGUAUAUAAAAUAAUUUAUGUUACCUAUAUGCAAUGUAAAAUUGAUUCGACAUGCCCAGAAAAAAGCUUUUAAAUGCUAUGAGUGAGAGGAAGAAGCGGCAAGAUAUAACACAGGAUAGGCAGCAAAUAUUAAAUAGUCCGCAUUCAAAACAAGACAACAGCACUACUACAAUUGAUACCAGCAAUGAUCAACCAGUAGUUGUGAUAAAAAAUGAAAAUUUUGACUCCGAUGAUGAUAUACCGUUAACACAAGUUAAAAGACACAUAAAUACCAACGAUGAUUUUUUCUCUAAGCGAAGGAAACUCGAACAACCGGUUUAUAUUAAACCUGAAGAAUGCUCAUCCUCUUCGCCGCCUCAAUAUAUAAAGACAGAAGAGUUUACUGAAGGCUCGAACCCAGAAGUGAUUGAUAAUUUUAUAAUAUACGAAAUAAAUGAAGUAAAUUCUUCAAAUGAACUCAAUACUAAACGUAAAUCUGGCACAAUUUUAAAAAGUCAAAAACCAGAAAUUGCAGAAGCACAAUGCUUACCACCAGCUAAUAGUUCAGAAAAUUUAACGACGGUUUGGACCAUUUCGAAAGUAAAUCGAACGCAAAAUGCAACGCAAUCAAAAAAUUCAACUACAAAUGCUAAACUGUCCAACCGAACAAUCGCUAAAAUACAUAAUUUUUCGGAAAUACCUGGAACAUCUACUUCUUCCAAACAGAAAGCAUCGAGCGUUAGAAAAAUAGCUACUACAAAAGUACACGACACUCCUAUUAGAAAAGUAAUAACAAGCUUCGACGAAGUAACGAAUAAAUGCACUUGUCGCCUAAAUCCAAUGAAAGACGUUGAUAUGUUUAGCAAUUUAGAAUUAAAAGAUUUCUUCGAAAGAAUGUUUGAGGAGGCGCGUAAAUUAAAAAUCGAAGCUCGUCAAACGGUAAAAACAGAACUGCUGAAAGCAGUUUCCCAAGCUGAGGAGGAUGUAGAGGCUGGAAAGUUUUGUGAAAAGUGUUACACAAUAAGAGCACAACCAAAGAAGAGAUACUGAAAGCUGACUGUGAACAUUUUAAAUUACAUGAUGCAUUUACAAAACAAAUUACGCUAUUUGGCUGCAGAGAAUGCAAAGAACUUCUACGAUUCACCGAGGAACAGUUAUAUACCCAAAAAGGAUGAUUUCAGUUCGUAUAUGUAAAAAACGAACCGAACUUUCUUUUCAAAGUUGGAAACAUUAAAUUGAGGACUCCAUAAUAUCCAAUAGAUAAGCAUGCGAGGUCAAUGGCAAUCUUUUUAUGGAGUUGGGUCUGUUCAACCGGAGCGAGUCCUUAUAUAUAUUCGUUGACGGACCAAUAGGACGCUAAGUUACGGGAGUUACAUAUGCUCAUAUGUAUUAUAAACAAGUAAGGAAAGGCUAAGUUCGGGUGCAACCGAACAUUUUAUACUCUCGCAAUUUAUUUAGAGAUUUACCUAUAUUUUCGGUGAAAAUUACCCUUAGGUACUGAGUUCUUCAUGUUUGACAUCAGGGGCCUUGAAAAGUCAUGGAUCGAUUUUGAAAAUUUUUCCACAAGUGAUGUCACAGCUCAAAUACAGUAUUUAUGUAAAGUUUUAUCUCGCUAUCUCUAUCGGUUCCUUAUGUAUACAUUAUAAAGUGAACGAAUCAGAAGGAUUCAAAAUUGAGUUAUAUGGGAAGUAGGCGUAGUUGUGAACCGAUUUCGCCCAUAUUCCACCAGUGUCAUCAGGGUGUCUAUAAAAUAUUAUAUACCUAAUUUCAUUGAAAUCUGUCGAGUAGUUCUUGAUAUAUGGUUUUUGACCCAUAAGUGGGUGACGCCACGCCCAUUUUCCAUUUUGUAAAAAAAUCUCAGUGCAGCUUCCUUCUGUCAUUUCUUAUGUAAAAUUUGGUGUUUCUGACGUUUCUCGUUAGUUAACGCACUUUUAGUAAUUUUCAACCUAACCUUUGUAUGGGAGGUGGGCGUGGUUAUUAUCCGAUUUCUUUCAUUUUUGGACUGUAUAAGGAAAGGGCUAGAAGAAACGACUGCAGAAAGUUUGGUUUAUAUAGCGUUAUUGGUUUGCAAGAUAUAUACAAAACACCUAUUUGGGGCGGGGUCACGCCCACUUUUCCAAAAAAUUACAUUCAAAUGUGCCCCUCCCUAAUGCGAUCAUAUGUACCAAAUUUUAUUUUCAUAACUUUAUUUAUGGCUUAGUUAUAGCUCUUUAUGUGUUUUUGGUUAUCGCCAUUUUGUGGGCGUGGCAGUGGUCCGAUUCCGCCCAUCUUCGAACUUAACCUUCUUAUGGUGCCAAGGAAUACGUGUUCCAAGUUUCAUUAAGAUAUCUCAAUUUUUACUCAAGUUACAGCUUGCACGGACGGACAGACGGACGGACGGGUUUGAACUUUACUCGUCACCCUGAUCACUUUGGUAUAUAUAACCCUAUAUCUAACUCGUUUAGUUUUAGGACUUACAAACAACCGUUAUGUGAACAAAACUAUAUACUCUCUUUAGCAACAUUUGUUGCGAGAGUAUAAAAAAGUACUCUUAACAGAAAUUAGCUGUUCGGGAAUGACUUCGAAUAUGUAAGACCAUCAUUUUGUAGAAUAAUGUCAAAACGCUGCCAAAAAUAGGGCGAAAACUCAAUCAAAGAGGAAAAUAGUAAUUAUAAAUAUGUAUCUAUAUACGUAGAUUUUUUAAAUUAUCUAACCAUACUUAUUCUGCUCCCUCUAACAAUACUGUAAUUUCGAUAUAAUUUUUCCACGAACCCUAAGGAGACAGACCUCAAUAUACUAUAAAUAUGUAUACGUAUGUAUACGGGUACAUUGGUAUACAUUUAUGAUUAUUUACCCGACCCUAGUCACCUUCAAAAGAACGUUCUGGCGUUCAGGGUGUGUUCCCUUGUCAAACAAAAGUUUAUGUACAUAUGUAUGUAUAUAUGUUUAUAAAUAUGUAUACUCACAUUUAUCUGGUUUUGUAUAUGUAUGUUCGGCCGUGCACAUAGGGGAGUUGACAAAUGUGGGUUUCAGUUCAGCAGCUGGCUUGAGUGCGGUGCUAUCGCUAAGGGAUAUCAGAUUCAAGCAUAGUUUUUAUAUGGGCUCGUUGUUACUUCUGUUGCCGUCAUUGUACUCAUUCGGAUAACUUUUGAAAGUAAUGCUAUUAUCGCACGAGUAUCGUCAGUUAGUUUUCGUUGUAUAUUUUCAGUAUGAAAGUGUGACUCUCUAUUUUAUAUAAUGACAUCGUGGAGGAAAAUUUAUUUUAGAGUUUACGACAGUCAGCUUCUAUUUUAGAAAGGAAUAUAAAUGCGUAUUUGCAAUGAUUCGUUUAGUCUUAUGUGCCUCAGUUAUCAAUACUGCAUACAUAUAGGGUUUUAAUUUAAUUUUAUGUAUUUCGGAAAUUUGGUUAUAUGUUUUGUGGAAAGAACUAUUCCUUGAAAAGCAUAUUUUUUAGAAAUAUUUAAAAAGAUAAAAUUUGUCAAAACGCGUAUGACGAACCAUUUUUGAACACUUCUGCUCAAAAUUUUUCUAAACGUAUAUCUCAUGAUCCAUAUUAUAUAGUGUUAAAGAAAGCUAAGUACUUUUCAGGCAAUAUUGAAACUCAACUAUCUUGCCGUAUCACAAAAUCGAGAGGGUACUGACUUCCAAACCUUUCUGGUUUGCUGCCAAUAUUUGACUAUUUAUUUAUGUUAAUUUAAUUGGAAAAAAAAUAUUAUACAAGUGACAACCCUUCUCAAAAAUAUAUCUUCAGUUGUAAUAUUCGGUAUACUUCUUAGUUUGUUGGCAAUGUUUAAAAUAAAAAAUAAAAAAAUCGAAAAGUGGCAACCCUUUCAAAAAAUGUAAACUCUUGUGAACGGCAGGAACGGUACUCAAUUUCUUAGAAAUCAAUUAAUUUUAUUGACGGACCUCAAAAACUUUCUUUUUCACAGUACAUUUGUUUGCCCGAAAAUAGUUGAAACCCUUUUCAAACAACUCAAUGACCCAAAGAAAUCACAAAUUCAAAAGAGUUCUAAAUUGUUGGACAAUGAUUUUCAACCUUCUGGGAGACCUCUCCCUCGUUUUCUUUAGAAACAUACUGCAUUUUACGGAGAAUCUGUUUCUACAUACACUAAGGUACCUAAAACAACAGAUAUGCAUUCAAGGGCUUCAAAUAUAUUUUCCAAGGCCAGUUACACCUUUACUACCUACUUUAAACACAAACAUCAUUCGCAUGCAUAGAUAUUUGUAAAUGUAUAAUUUCAUUAUUGCAUACAAAAACCUUCAUUAAAAUUAUUGAAAUUUUUCAAAGCUAUUCUUCUUUCAACAUGCUUCGCUAUAGAAACAUAAUUCAGUAAAAUUCAUUUAUUAUAUUAAACAUUAGUACAUACUAAUAUAUACCACAGAUUUGUAUAUAAACGGCCCCUUUCGAAUGCAGAAAACUACCGAAGAAGAAAGACCAUCAUUUGUUAUCGGCCAUCACAAAAGAGAGAUAGAUGGAUGAGAUUAACAUCAAACAAGUAGAACUAAUGAAAUUCAGACAGAGUUCUGAGUUAAUACCAUUAUAUAUACAUAUACCUUUAUUUAUAUCAAUACUAUAUAUAUACAUAGAUUGAUAUAUACAUAGAUUGACAAAAACAACACUCGGCUUGCGUCGUCACCAAUUCACCAAAUCGCACAGAAUGGUAAUUCAACCUGACAAAACUUUCCACCCUCACAAAAGUUUGGCUCAAUGGUUCGGACAACAUUGGGCAUACAAAUAAAUAAAUAGACCCGCAGCUACCGCCAACCGACCCGCUGAACAAUGUACACAACCAUCAAUGGUGGAAAGGAACUUUUGGUUUUACUGCUCACAAGGACUUUUUCAUUCCUUGAAUUUCAGGGUUUCAGCUGGCCAGUUGUGGAUGAAACUCAAUAUGCGAAUACAAAAUGAGUGUCUGAAAUUUACGCUAAAGUCCCAAUGAAUUGAAGGCAGUAAUAGUAGAGUAUAAAACAAAUGAGAACCCAUUAAAGCAGAAUUCACCACCAACGGGUUGCCUAGCAGUUGUGUAUCUACCGACUGGGUAACUACAUACAAGGGUAUAGCAUAGACUUGUUAUAUAGAAAAUAUCUCAAGUUACUUUGGAGAGUUCGUUAACAAGCCAACUGUGGGUACACAUACAUUCAUAUACAUAAAGACCAAGUAGUGUGCCGAAGUUGUACUGAAUUUUUAAUGAGAGUAAGUUGAUGGGAUCAGCUUUUGUAAAACAUUUCGUAAGCCUUAUUCUGAUGGACAUUUUUUAUUAUUGUCGCUGAGGGACGAGUACACUUAUAUUUUUUUACAUAACGUACUCGGUAGUCUUGAGAUUGGUAUUCGAUGGAUUCACUUUACAUUUGUUUUCUAAUUGAAGAUUCUCUUCCAAAAGUGAGUACAUCAUUAGUUCAAAACCAAUAUUUGGCGCUAUGGUGCUUUUUAAGGCCGGCUAUUCAGCAAAAUAUAUUCGUUUUGCUUAUAUAUAAAAAUCCUAUCCAAACACUACUAUAUCAAUUACAAGUUAUAACUUCUCGAUUUCAAAUUUUAACGAUUUUCAAUGGGCUGGUAAAUAAACAUAUGUAAAUUAUUUUUUAGGGUUGUAACUCUGCAUACAUUUAUUUGAAGACUUAAAAAAGAAGAAAACAAAUUUACAUAUUUGUUGUUGUUGUUGUUUUUUGUAAUCAAACAAAAGCCCUUCUUUUCGGCGGCGCUGUGAUUUCCGCUCACUGGAACAUCUGAAACCAAAAAUUCCAACGGGAUUAGAGAGAGCACUUGUUUGGCUCUGGUAUGAAGUAGGAUUAUUAAUUUCGCACAAAAAUUAGCAGACUUUUGAAAA